CACUGAAACACUGGUUCUCAUACAAUCACUAAAGUUAAGCAAUGUCAAGCCUGGUUAGUACCUAGAUGGGUGACAGCUUGGGAAUACCAGGUGCUGUAA